GGGGGCCUACGGGAGGGAGCCGUAGGGAAUCUUCCGCAAUGGACGAAAGUCUGACGGAGCAACGCCGCGUGAGUGAUGAAGGCUUUCGGGUCGUAAAACUCUGUUGUUAGGGAAGAACAAGUGCUAGUUGAAUAAGCUGGCACCUUGACGGUACCUAACCAGAAAGCCACGGCUAACUACGUGCCAGCAGCCGCGGUAAU
rnacentral:rRNA from 1 species